CCCCUUUUAAAAGCACUCAGUGGGCCCUGACUCAACCCACUGAGCCGUCAAGAAAGGGCAGAGGAAAAACACUGCUUUUGGGUGAAGCAGCAGCAUGUUGUGUUGUUUUUGCUUCAAUCGGUGAUAUGACAGGG
rnacentral:snoRNA from 1 species